CCUACGGGAGGCAGCAGUAAGGAAUAUUGGACAAUGCCCGCAAGGGUGAUCCAGCCAUGCCGCGUGCAGGAAGAAGGCCCUAUGGGUCGUAAACUGCUUUUACACCGGAGAAAACCUCCCUUCGUGAAGGGAGCUGAUAGUAUGGUGAGAAUAAGCAUCGGCUAACUUCGUGCCAGCAGCCGCGGUAAGACGAAGGAUGCAAGCGUUAUCCGGAUUCAUUGGGUUUAAAGGGAGCGUAGGUGGACUGAUAAGUCAGUGGUGAAAUCUUCGAGCUUAACUCGGAAAUUGCCAUUGAUACUGUUAGUCUUGAGUGCAGUUGCUGUGGGCGGAAUAUGACAUGUAGUGGUGAAAUACAUAGAGAUGUCAUAGAACACCGAUUGCGAAGGCAGCUCACAAAGCUGUAACUGACACUGAGGCUCGAAAGUGCGGGGAUCAAACAGGAUUAGAUACCCUGGUAGUCCGCACCGUAAACGAUGAUUACUCGCUGCUAGAGGGCAACUUUUAGUGGCUUAGCGAAAGCGAUAAGUAAUCCACCUGGGGAGUACGCCGGCAACGGUGAAACUCAAAUGAAUUGACGGCUUGAGGACGNGCGAGCGACGACGAGGGAGAGG
rnacentral:rRNA from 1 species